rnacentral:rRNA from 1 species
CGGGUGAGUAACACGUGGGUAACCUACCUAUAAGACUGGGAUAACUUCGGGAAACCGGAGCUAAUACCGGAUAACAUUUGGAACCGCAUGGUUCUAAAGUGAAAGAUGGUUUUGCUAUCACUUAUAGAUGGACCCGCGCCGUAUUAGCUAGUUGGUAAGGUAACGGCUUACCAAGGCGACGAUACGUAGCCGACCUGAGAGGGUGAUCGGCCACACUGGAACUGAGACACGGUCCAGACUCCUACGGGAGGCAGCAGUAGGGAAUCUUCCGCAAUGGGCGAAAGCCUGACGGAGCAACGCCGCGUGAGUGAUGAAGGGUUUCGGCUCGUAAAACUCUGUUAUUAGGGAAGAACAAACGUGUAAGUAACUGUGCACGUCUUGACGGUACCUAAUCAGAAAGCCACGGCUAACUACGUGCCAGCAGCCGCGGUAAUACGUAGGUGGCAAGCGUUAUCCGGAAUUAUUGGGCGUAAAGCGCGCGUAGGCGGUUUCUUAAGUCUGAUGUGAAAGCCCACGGCUCAACCGUGGAGGGUCAUUGGAAACUGGGAAACUUGAGUGCAGAAGAGGAAAGUGGAAUUCCAUGUGUAGCGGUGAAAUGCGCAGAGAUAUGGAGGAACACCAGUGGCGAAGGCGACUUUCUGGUCUGUAACUGACGCUGAUGUGCGAAAGCGUGGGGAUCAAACAGGAUUAGAUACCCUGGUAGUCCACGCCGUAAACGAUGAGUGCUAAGUGUUAGGGGGUUUCCGCCCCUUAGUGCUGCAGCUAACGCAUUAAGCACUCCGCCUGGGGAGUACGACCGCAAGGUUGAAACUCAAAGGAAUUGACGGGGACCCGCACAAGCGGUGGAGCAUGUGGUUUAAUUCGAAGCAACGCGAAGAACCUUACCAAAUCUUGACAUCCUUUGAAAACUCUAGAGAUAGAGCCUUCCCCUUCGGGGGACAAAGUGACAGGUGGUGCAUGGUUGUCGUCAGCUCGUGUCGUGAGAUGUUGGGUUAAGUCCCGCAACGAGCGCAACCCUUAAGCUUAGUUGCCAUCAUUAAGUUGGGCACUCUAGGUUGACUGCCGGUGACAAACCGGAGGAAGGUGGGGAUGACGUCAAAUCAUCAUGCCCCUUAUGAUUUGGGCUACACACGUGCUACAAUGGACAAUACAAAGGGCAGCUAAACCGCGAGGUCAUGCAAAUCCCAUAAAGUUGUUCUCAGUUCGGAUUGUAGUCUGCAACUCGACUACAUGAAGCUGGAAUCGCUAGUAAUCGUAGAUCAGCAUGCUACGGUGAAUACGUUCCCGGGUCUUGUACACACCGCCCGUCACA